rnacentral:rRNA from 1 species
CAGUCGCCACGGGAAUACGAAGGGGGCUAGCGUUGUUCGGAUUUACUGGGCGUAGAGCGCACGUAGGCGGACUUUUAAGUCAGGGGUGAAAUCCCGGGGCUCAACCCCGGAACUGCCUUUGAUACUGGGAGUCUUGAGUUCGAGAGAGGCGAGUGGAAUUGCGAGUGUAGAGGUGAAAUUCGUAGAUAUUCGCAGGAACGCCAGUGGCGAAGGCGGCUCACUGGCUCGAUACUGACGCUGAGGUGCGAAAGCGUGGGGAGCAAACAGGAUUAGAUACCCGCGUAGUCCCUGUCUCUUAUAC